AGGCACUCGCAGAUAAUUUUUCAAUCCGUUCGAGGUUCUUCCGAGGAGGAGGGUACACGUUCCUCCCCUUCCACCUUCUCCUUGCUCUUCUCCUUCUCGAAUCCAUGGCGACCACCGUUGAGCCGUCUCCCGGGCUGCCCCCCCUAGGUCCACUUCACCACGCCCCAUCCCUUCGGGAGCACGUCUCAAUCGCCGGCAGUGGGGAUGGUGGUGGCAGUGGAGUUCUUCCACUACAAUCUCCACUAUCGCUACCAGAUAUUAUCCAUAGGUGAGAUGAAGAAUUUGAUAUAUUGUAAUUUGUAUUUGCCUGUCGUGGAUUUCAACAAAAUGAAUGCUGUGAAGAAUUUAUUGAAAGUCUGGAGGAAUUUUGGGUGUUGAAGAAAGAUUCGAGGGUGGAAUUGAUCAAUAAUGUUGGGGCAAUAAAUGACCGGUAUGAUAUAGCGCACGAGGAUACAUCGUGGGGGCAAAUUCGAUGCAUCCAGAAAUUCUUCAAGGCAUUCUGGUCGAGCUUGCUCAGGCAAAUGUGAAGGCCAGGUCGAGCAGACCAUAAGUGUCCGACCUUCGAUGUCGGCACCUCUCAGCUCAGUUCAGGGAUCUUGACUACUGAUACGAAUCGAGUGAAACCUUCUAUGCGAAAGAAGCAGUUCGCUCCUACAAUUCCAUUGCGUGCCAGGUUAUAACAGCACGUCUCCACAUCAGUAGUUUGUUGCGGUCUAAAGGAGGUGGUCCACCUCGAUAUUCCAGGGUCGGCGGCAACAAAUAGCAAGGAGAGAGAUCUUACUAUAAAUACUGGAAUGCAAAAAUCAUGUAACUAAAGAAGUAUUUUUGCUGCUUUAUAGGUUGGAAACAAGUUUAUUUUGGUGGCUUAUAGGAGUUUUAGUAUUGGAAUCAGGACUUAGAUUUUGAUAAUUAGGAGAGUUGACCUGCAUAAGUUUCCUGUGGCUCUUCUUUUUAUUUUUUUUUUCUUUUUGUAUGCCAUGUUUGAUUUGCUAGAAAAAUAUCAGGAGAGGAUUAUGAUGUUUUGGCAAAAUUUGUUGAUACCAUAAAAUUGGACCUUCCUGAAGAUAUUAUCAAGAGGAUGAGGGAGUGCGUGAUGAAGGCGAAACAUGGUGACUUCAUCCAUUGAGAUGGAAAAUGACAUUUGGUGAAGGUUUUUAUUCGUAAAAAAAUUCAUUUAUUUAUUUAUCUAUCUAUUUAUUGUGUGUGAGCAUGAGAGAAAGAGAGAGAGAGCUAGGAGGGGAGCAACCCAGGCAGAAAAUCAGGCGGUUCGAGGUCACCGGAGAGGCAUCAAUGAAUUUACCAACUGCACUAGUUGGUGAAGCUUGAACAGCUUUUUCAUAAAAAUACAGUGGAUUAAAUAAUCAGCUCCUAUUUCAAGCAUGGGAACUGAGGGUUGGAUCUAGUGAAUAUUGCAUAGUCCGAGGGGUGUCGUAUUCAGAAAGCCUACAUAUUUUAAACAAAUUGGAGGACAUGUCAAUUAUCAAGAGUGAGUAAGGAUGAAAUAUGGGAGACAUUGCUGAUGCUACUGGUGUGGCCAGAGAUCAUGUUUUUCAUGUGGACUUUAUGUAACUAUAGGUUACAGACAAUGGUUAAGAGUUGAAAAGAUUUAUGGAUGGCCUGGUGCAGUAUAAGUGGUGCAAGAUGGGUGAGGAAGAUGUUUAUCAUUUGCUCUUUGAUUGUUAGAGGUCUAAUCUAACCAACCCUGAGAUAAGUUCAUUGAAGGUUGGUUUGACUAUGGAAUAUAAAUGCGGAGGUGUUAAGGAACACAUGUAUGAAAAUUGACAGUGCCAAGGUAAGAAGAGAACAGUUAUUCUCGUUUUUACUUGGUGGGUUACAUGGCAGGAUGUUUUGAUGGAGAUGGUGAUAAAGUAGUGAAAAAGGAUUACUGGUCAGACAAGAAAUUUUCAGUGCCAAGGAGAAAAACAAUCAGUAGGAGUGUUAACUCUUGAUAAGUUGGGAUUACCUGAAGCCAGGGUAUGUCAAAGUAAACUCUGAUGCUUCAGUGGGAUUAGAAAGAGAAAAGGCUGCAUUCAGUUGGCUACUAGGAAUAAAGAAGGUAGACAGAUGUUAGCUUGAGCUGUGCCCACUAGCAUGGAUGUUCAGGUUCUAGAAUUAUUAUUUAAGACCAGGUUUGUUGGCUGCAUUAUGAGAAGGCUACAGGAAACCACAAUGCAGAAGUACUGAGAUAUUGCUUGGCGAGAAAAAUUGCACCAAAUAUCAAGGAUAUUUGUGUUUUAAUGGGACAAAUGGAGGACUUUAAGAUAUCACAAAUUCAUCAAGAAGCAAAUGCUGGUGCUGAUUGGUUGGCAAAUAGGAGAAGGCAAGGGAAUAUUAGAAGAUUAGAAGGAAAACUAUCCAGUUGGCCAGUGGAGUCGGUGUUAAGGGACCUAGGUGGUCCUUUUGUUUGAAAGUUUUUACAUUUCUUUCAUCCGUUACUGGCUCAUUAAACGGGAUAAAAAAGGGAACAAAAGGCAAAUAUCAUUUGUUCACUUACAGAAAACACCAUCAAUCUAUCUUGUUGUACCUGGGAAGAAUCAUAAAGUAAACAACCAAACAAGUUAUCCUUCUUUUGAUUUUUGUUGAUGCUGUGGUUAAUCUGUAACUCAUAUAAAGAGUUGGACAUGAUGGUUUUAUGUUGGAUUAUGAAAUAAGAUUCAAAUGCUAUUUUCAUUGGAAAGUGGUUCUGGAAUUAUGGUAAGGAAUUCAAUUGGGUUUGUGCUUAGGAUAAUUGGUUCUUAAAAAGUUCUGCCUAUUCAUUUCCUGGUGAUUUUGACCUCCCUCCAUUUCCUCUCAAAGCACAAAAAAAAAAGCUUGCAUGGUACAUUAGGGCUCACAUCAUUAGUAAGCUGUAAUACACCGUAUUGCAAUUAUUGCUAUGACAUGACGUGUCCUCUAGUUACUUGAGAUUACCAAGUCAUCAAUAUGUUGCUGAAAGCACUUGUUACACUGAUGAUAAUUUGCUUACUACUGAUGCUUUCUUUGCUGCAUCCUUGUAAAAGCACUCGUGAUGGAUAAAUAUUGAACACCCCAAAAGUACUUUAUGACAAUGUAAUCAAGUAGGUCUUUACGACAAUGUAUGUCAUCAACAUAGUUAUAUUUGGCAUUUUCUGUUAUUUAGUCUAUAAGGUAGGAAGUUUUGUUGAUGAAGUUAGUGGCCAAAAUAUGAAAUUUCUCUUGUUUGAUUCGCUUUGCAAAGUUGGGGAUGCAUCUUUCCCAUUUUAACGUAUCGAAUGUCGGUGCGUCCCUUUGUACUGCUUACCAAUUCUGUACCAUUACAGUCAAUAUGCACUGAUACCGACCGGCACAGCAAACCUUAAACGGUUCCUUCCAAUCAAACAACUUGAUUUAUUGCAAUAUCUAAAAAUCUGAUGUUGUUUAAGCCAAAGAUUUAGGAUCAUAUUAUGUAUUUUUUGGUACAUAAUCUGGACAUAUAACAUUUUACGCUCCCUAUCUCUCUCUAUCUCUGUCUUGCGUGGAGGAGGGAGUCAAAAGUUUUUUUCUUGGCCAUAUACCUUCUAUGAUUUUCAAUUUGUUCCUUUAACUUUUAGUUUGUCAGAGGGCUGUUCUUCAAGAUAUCUAAAAAUAUAUAAUGAUUUCAUUUAAGCUCAGGAAAGACCCAGUUAACAUUUUCUGAAGUUUCGAGGAAGACUCAAAUAAUUAGACCAACUACUUUUUCAAAUUAUGCCAAGAAAAGUCUGAUAUCAAGUUGAAUUAAGGCUAUCAGUUAAAUAUGAUAAGUCCUAUGAGAGAGGCAGUUUAAUUUCUCUUCUUUACUCACAGAAUUUGUAUAUUUGGUUUCUCUAGACAAUCCUUUUUUUUUUUCACAAUCAUUGCAACAGAGAGGAGCUAAUAGUACAUUUGGUCUUAAUUUAGUGAAAGCACUAGCAAAGUGUCUAGUUAUGGAGUUGUCUUUUGGAGUUCUUCUAACUUCUAGCCAGAAUCUUUGGGCUGUGUCCCCACCUGCUUCGACUCUUUAGACAAGCAUCCACUAUUUCUGUCAAAAAUUAUCAACAUCACCAUUAGCUCGGUAACACUACAGCUGUACCAUCUGAUACCUAGCUUUGGCAUCUAUUUACCUAUUAAGUCUUUGAUACAAAAGAGAAAGCCAACAAAUUCACCUAUGAAAACACUGACCAAUCAAAUAAAUGUUGAUACUACCACACAAAGAUACUUCCUUGCUGGCCUAAUCAUUGUAGUUUUGUGUUUUUUUUUUGUAUUUAAUAUCAAUAUGUACAUAUGCUUUGUAGUUGCUUUGCUUCCCAGAUUUAUUUAGAUCUUCAAUUCCCCUUUCCAUGAAUCCACUUAAUAUUCUAACUACUAGCUUUUAUAAUUCUUGGCAAGAUUUGCCUCUGCAAAUCUAAGAGUACUUCUAAAAAAUCACUGACUCUGAAAAGUUAACUAUUUUAUUUAGACUUCAGACUUUCCUGCUGAAAUUCAGAGGUAUUUUCAGUUUAUGCUUUUUUACCUUCAUGUCAAUUCUCAGUUGGAGCACAAUUAAAUGGCCAGAUUUUUUUUUGACAAGCAUUUGAAUGCAAAUCCUUACUUCUGAACUUAAUGGGGUAAGGCUCAUAAUCAUUGUUUGCGACUGCAUCUUUUUCUCUAGUUUCUGAUCCCAUGAAUUAGGAUUCAGCCAAUUUUAACGUUCUUAAGGCUGGUAAAAAUUUGCCUCUACUUAACUAGUGGUAUUGAUGGUUCAUAUCUGUUUCUUGAUUGCUGUUCUUUUCUCCAUGAACAUUAUUGCAUAGCCUCCACAACCAAUGAUUCAGAGUUUAGUGGUUGAAUGUCCAAGCAGCUAUUUUAGCCCCAAAUGAAGAAAAUUGGACUGGUUCAUUUCUCAUGAAAAAUAUGAGAUCAUAUCUGCAGGUGAUGAUGCAGGAGUUGGAUAGAGCACGAAACAGAUUACAAAUAGUUAUUUUCUGAAGUGCAAGAAUGUUCAUCUGUGGUUUGAACUUGCAUCCAUGGUGAACUGGUGUAUACCUAUCAUUUCCCCCUUACACAUAUCUUCUUUUUUUUUUAACUAUUGGGUAUUAUUUAUUGUUAUUUUUUUAAUGUGGUCCAUGUAUCUUGGCGAGAAAGCUUAUAUCCAUGGAACAAGGCAGCUAAAGUCUCAUUAAACAUGUAAAUGAAAGUUUUGGGUCACCAACCAGAAAGGCUUUCUCAAAAUGUGGAACUUCAUUUCGAUCAA